UACGUAGGUGGCAAGCGUUAUCCGGAUUUAUUGGGCGUAAAGGGAACGCAGGCGGUCUUUUAAGUCUGAUGUGAAAGCCUUCGGCUUAACCGGAGUAGUGCAUUGGAAACUGGGAGACUUGAGUGCAGAAGAGGAGAGUGGAACUCCAUGUGUAGCGGUGAAAUGCGUAGAUAUAUGGAAGAACAUCAGUGGCGAAAGCGGCUCUCUGGUCUGUAACUGACGCUGAGGUUCGAAAGCGUGGGUAGCAAACAGG
rnacentral:rRNA from 1 species